rnacentral:rRNA from 1 species
CCGGCGCACGGGUGAGUAACACGUAUCCAACCCGCCGUCUACUCUUGGACAGCCUUCUGAAGGAAGAUUAAUACAAGAUGGCAUCAUGAGUUCACAUGUUCACAUGAUUAAAGGUAUUCCGGUAGACGAUGGGGAUGCGUUCCAUUAGAUAGUAGGCGGGGUAACGGCCCACCUAGUCUUCGAUGGAUAGGGGUUCUGAGAGGAAGGUCCCCCACAUUGGAACUGAGACACGGUCCAA